rnacentral:rRNA from 1 species
UACGAGGGGAGCAAGCGUUGUUCGGAUUUACUGGGCGUAAAGGGCGCGUAGGCGGCCAGCACAAGAUCAGUUGUGAAUCCCCGGGACUUAACUCGGAAAGGUCAACUGAUACUGUGCGGCUAGAGUGCAGAAGGGGCAACUGGAAUUCUCGGUGUAGCGGAUGAAAUGCGCAGAUAUCAGGAGGAACACCGGUGGCGAAGGCGGGCUCUGGGCCGACUACUGACGCUGAGGAGCGAAAGCGUGGGGAGCGAACAGG